rnacentral:rRNA from 1 species
UACGUAGGGGGCAAGCGUUAUCCGGAUUUACUGGGUGUAAAGGGAGCGUAGACGGCAGAGCAAGUCUGAAGUGAAAGCCCGCGGCCCAACUGCGGGACUGCUUUGGAAACUGCCCGGCUAGAGUGCUGGAGAGGUAAGCGGAAUUCCUAGUGUAGCGGUGAAAUGCGUAGAUAUUAGGAGGAACACCAGUGGCGAAGGCGGCUUACUGGACAGUAACUGACACUGAGGCUCGAAAGCGUGGGGAGCAAACAGG